rnacentral:rRNA from 1 species
GUGGGGAAUAUUGCGCAAUGGGGGAAACCCUGACGCAGCGACGCCGUGUGAGGGAAGAAGGCUUUCGGGUCGUAAACCUCUGUCAGAAAGGAAGAACCUCCCAAGUCCGAAUAGGGCUUGGGACUGACGGUACUUUCAAAGGAAGCACCGGCUAACUCCGUGCCAGCAGCCGCGGUAAUACGGAGGGUGCAAGCGUUAAUCGGAAUCACUGGGCGUAAAGCGCGCGUAGGCCGCUUUGUAAGUCGGACGUGUAAGCCCUCGGCUCAACCGGGGAACUGCGUUCGAUACUGCGAGGCUUGAGUCCUGGAGAGGGUGGCGGAAUUCCGGGUGUAGGAGUGAAAUCCGUAGAUAUCCGGAGGAACACCGGUGGCGAAGGCGGCCACCUGGACAGGUACUGACGCUGAGGCGCGAAAGCGUGGGGAGCAAACAGGAUUAGAAACCCCUGUAGUCC